rnacentral:rRNA from 1 species
GACGAACGCUGGCGGCGUGCUUAACACAUGCAAGUCGAGCGGUAAGGCCCUUUCGGGGGUACACGAGCGGCGAACGGGUGAGUAACACGUGGGUGACCUGCCCUUAGCUCUGGGAUAAGCCUGGGAAACUGGGUCUAAUACCGGAUAUGACUCCAUAACGCAUGUUGUGGGGUGGAAAGCCUUGUGCGGCUAGGGAUGGGCCCGCGGCCUAUCAGCUUGUUGGUGGGGUGAUGGCCUACCAAGGCGACGACGGGUAGCCGGCCUGAGAGGGCGACCGGCCACACUGGGACUGAGACACGGCCCAGACUCCUACGGGAGGCAGCAGUGGGGAAGUCUUGCGCAAUGGGCGAAAGCCUGACGCAGCGACGCCGCGUGGGGGA